rnacentral:tRNA from 1 species
GGAGAGGUGUCUGAGUGGUUGAAAGAGCCGGUCUCGAAAACCGGUGUACCCGUAAGGGUAUCGUGGGUUCGAAUCCCACCUUCUCCGCCA